AGAUUUACAGUCAACUCCCGACACAUCUCAAGCCUCCAUCCAUCAUGAAGACUUUCUUCGCUCUUGCUCUGGUCGCCAUCAGUCUGGUCGUCGUCAGUGCUGACAGCACCGACACCGUGAUCAAGGGUUUCUCCGAGGCUCUCUCCAAGCUCGACAUCCCCGCAGACCGCAAGGAGAAAUACCAGGCUGGACUCCAGAAGGCUCGUGCCUGCAUCGAGCCCCUCGUCAAGGACGCCGAUGCGGACAGGAUCUCCGACUACGUCAAGAAACUGACCCCCGUCGUCGCUGAGUGCUCGAAGGUUAUCAAGACCCUGCCCGAGACGCAAGUCAAGGAACGUCAGGAGGCUUUCGGAGCGUGUCUCAAGGAGAAGGUCCAGGGAGCUGACUCGCAAUUCGACGACAAGCAGAAGGAAGUCCUUCCCAAGCUCAAGGUCUGUGUCAUCGACGCCUUGAAGGAAUAAGUUAUUCCGUUGAUUGUUGUAAGAAACUCACAAUGUGCAUACGUACCCGGAACGAACUUCUUUCAAAAAUCAAUUUGCCGUUGAACGCCAUUCGUUGCAUCCGAUCAAAGAAACGGAUCAAAUAAAAAAAAUGUUCUCAGAAAUUCAC